GGGGAGCAGAAGAUAGCAAGCCACAGCUUGGAUGCUCUGGCUCCAGGACUGCAGCCUGCCUGCAAAAGGGGCUGGGGUUUUAUCCUAUUCUGUAUAAUCUGGAGUUUGUUUCCCCAUUUUCAUCAGCCAGCUGUUCCCAGGAUCAGGACAGCCUCAGGGAAGGCAAAUGCAUGGCUAAACACUCACCAUCGAUUAGUUCAGAGGUGUACGGGCACCAAAUAUAAACACCUUGAUUCCUAACCACGCAUUGUGAUGGACUUACACCAUGAGUUCUUACUGAAACACAGCAGGAGAAAGUGCCUGUCUCUUCCCUAACAGACAUCAACAUGAGGCCCACAUCUGAAGCGCUCUUUGUCCAGUUGGAUCAUUACUCCUCUUACUACAAGCACUCUUUUCUCUGCAAAGGGGAUACUAACUCAAUCAUUGGACAACAUGAAAUUGCAGAGCCUCAUCAUCACCUUUUCCUGAAUACCUGAUUGGAAGGUAUUUGUCACAGUCCCUUUCAUCAGGACUCAGAGGUGAGGGUUAAAGGAGUGUGAAGGCAACUGUGCCUUAAACCAGUAUGAAUCUCAUAGCUGGUAGAGGAGACAGUGAGGAAAAGAUGACAAGAGUGAUCAGAGCUUCCAAACUGAAGAGCCAAAGAACCAAACACAUAUUUUGUAUUAAAAUGAAAAUGCUUCAAAAUCCUGUGUGGGGGUAAUUAUAACUGUGACAGAGAAAAGAACAGAAUACUUUGACUGAUGUGUUUAGGGCUUGAUUAUUAGAUAUCUUUUUACUGACCUGCAAUCUGCAGGCCCAUGAGGUUGUUUACAGGUUUUAACUGGCCUUCUAAAAGAUCAGUGCUUAUGAAUGCUUAUAAGUUUAUGAUUCUUGUAGCAUGAGAAUAGGCUGAAAAAAAAAAUAAAUGAGGCAUUUCAAAGAUUUUGGGAAUGCCCUAAUGUUAUCAGUAUGCCAUCUAAUUUCAUUUAUGAGAUAGAACUGUUCUUUCAGCCUACACUUACGGUGUUAGAAAUGGAAAUUAUAUGUGAUGGAAAGGCUUUGCUGUUGAGUACAUCUCUGCAAGCCUCAUAGCAAUUUAGUUAACAGAUAUUUGAGUAAAAUGCUGAUGAAAUGACAGAGAAGGCCCACAGUGCUUGACAUCUUUUGCCACUAUUAAUCAAGACUGCCUAUUCUAGAUAUGUAGUACAAACUGUAUGAGAAGCAUACACGGCAAUGAAAAGAUAGACUUAAAAAUACAUGCAUGAUUGCAAAAGCAGAAUUACUCCAAGUACUUUGUGUUCCUGUAACAGAGUAACACCUCUCAUAUUUUAGCCAGCUCUGGACUCCAGUACCUGGGUAUAAAUCAUUGUUUUUUGUUCUGCGAUUGCUCAUUUUCCCCAAAGACUGUGUUAGCCUAUGGCAGCUUUCUCUUCCUAUUUAUAAGGACAUGUUUUCAGACUCCAUUAUGAAUUUACCAGUCGGAGUUGUUCUUUUUCAAUACUGUUUAAGGUGAACAGCUUUUACUUCUCAUGUCCUUUCAACACAAUUGUACUUCUUUCCAAAUGCAGCGUAGCUAUGACCCAAUUUAUAGCCCUAGGUAAUUUUUGUGGUAUUACAGUUCUCUUCCAAGAACACACAGGCUCAUGAGUUUUUAUUUUAUACGUGUUUCCUCACAUUAGCAUGCAGCUCUGUUAGAAUCACAUAAUUUCUGCACUUGUUUUUUGUGCUCUCAUGUUUACAUUGGAGACAGUUCAAACUUCUGCAGGUAGGUGUUUUUCAGUGUUCCACUCCAAAUCUUCACUGACUUUAUAGAAUUGUGAGUGGUGUAUUUCCAUUUCUGUAACCCAUGACUGCAUUUUUUAAAGUAAUUGAAUUGUUAAAAGAAAGCUUUUGUCUAUUGUUUCAGUCUGACCACAGAUGUGAUGUAACUGGGUUUUGGGUUUCAGUGUGUUUCACUAGUCAUCAAUUUUUGGCAUCUGGUAGGUCAGACAUGCACAAUGGGCAGAUACAAGUGCCUAGAGUAGAUACUCUAAGGCACUUACAGUGGGUCGGUAUCUUUGAUUCAGCCUGGUGCUCAAUUUGUUGCAUGGGUUGAUCUUUUUCAUUCUGUUUUUCUCAAUUAAACUGAGCUACAACAGUCAUAUCUCGUGCACCUUACAUAAAGCUAUUCAGUGAGCAUGCAGUUCUCAAAUUAGAGAGGUGGGUUUGGGUAGUUGUUUUUACAAAUUUUUUCGUGAUUGAUCUUUUAUUUGAUAAUGACAGAGGACAGGGAAGACUGUUUACCCCUGAACAACCAAAAUGCAGGUGAAACAUACUGUUGCCUAAGGGGCCAGCUACUUAAAAGUAUAUUCCCACAAAUGGCUAUGCAAAUAUUCAUUAAACAUUAUCUUUUCCAAUUAAUCUACUAAAAAGGAAAUAAUGAUCAGGUACUGCCACGCUGCACUAGUUGCACUAGCUGAAAGAAACCACAACACAGUGGAUGUCUUCAGAGACCUUGUCUGAAAGAAGCCUAACAGGUUAAUUGAUGUUUCCUGUUAAGCAUAUAGAAAGUGUAAUUGUUUUCUUGCCAAGUGUUUAGAGUAGCUAAUCACUAAACAGUAAUUUAUCUGUUUUGUGAUUAUCUAGAAUUUGCCAGAUAGGAGAUUAAUUUUGUCAGAGAGUUUAAACCUACUAUUCUCUAACGAAGGACCUACACUAAGAUGAAAAGAUGCAGAGUAUGGAUCAUUACAACUUCACAUUCUAUAUCUCCAGUUCAUCACAAGCUGCCAAAAAGAUGAGCUUUGUUUUUGCUUCUGAAAACCAGCAAAGUAAUUGCAAGAUAUUUAUGAUACAUAUGGAUAUAAAUCUUUUUGAAAUAUAGUCUCAGCUUGGAAGGGUCUGUGUUCAUGGUUGAUAUACAUUGCAUAGUUAAUGCCUAAUUAUUUCAUUGUGCCUUUUGCCAAGGUAUGAAUAAUUCAUGAUCCUUCUUUAACAAAACCAAGAUUCAUGAUCUAGAUUCACAGGCAGAAUUACGGGAAGCACAUGAAUACUGGAACCGUUCAGGAUUGGGAAGAACAGACUUCACUUGCUAUCUAGAUUAUCCACAUUAGCAUCCAGAGGUUAUAGAGUAAGAAUGAUGAUAAGAAAAGUUGGAAAGAAUAUGCAGUGUAUUACUUGCAAAACACAUCUGAAACCAGAGUAUUAAAGGUUUCAGUCAGGCCCAUGACCUGGCCAUGGUCCCAUUACUCAGGCACUGACUUCGGACUUGUUUUUGUUGAUGAGUAAAGGUUAUCUUGAUCCAAGGAGACAGUAUGUGGGAGACAAAUUUAUUGCUCACAUUGCACCCUCUACUGUCUAAUUCCUAUAAAUGCUCGGGGCAAGGUCUUCUGACUCAUUGGUCUGUGCUACAGUGGUGUAAAACACUACAAUACGAAGAAGGACAAGCAAGUAACACAUUGAGAAGAUGCCACAUUUAAGGAAAAGGCUACAUGGAAAAUAUGCAUGGGAAGAAACUUACAGAAUAAAAUUGGAAAUGAGUGCCAUUCUCAUUAAGAGGGUGCUUAAUGAAGUGUUUAGUUAAAACCUUUAAUCCUGAUUGCACUACAGUUCAAUGGGAGAUACUCUUUAAUGAAGUCAGCAGGAUUGUGCCUCUACAAACAUGGGCCAUAGUAUUAGGAAGUCCAUCUGCCUUCCUAGACCAUCAGAUAUAUUUGAGGUUCAGAUGCUAAAAAUCUGUCAAUACAUCAGAGCAGCUCUGUGGCAUACACAGGCCACAGAUGUCCUGAAUUAGACAGGAGAUCUCACUGAGUAUCACAAGCCAAAAUGGUUCAGCUGCCACAUUACUAAGAUGUGUAUUAGCACAGAGGGGCUGGAGAGUGUCCAUUUUUUUACCUUACAUUACAACCCAGCCAGCAGCACCGUGGGAUACAGUAUAUAACUUGUCAUUGCCACACACCUUCUUAAUCAUCCUAUCUAUGUGCCAACCAGUUGCUGUCAUGCUCUCCUAUGCUCCAUCACACUGUUACUGAAUACAGCACUCAUUCCAAAAAUAGUUCAGCCUUCUCCUAAAUUUCUACCUUCAAGUCAUCGUUGGUGUCCCAAGAGAUGGAGGACUUCCCACAUAACCAAAGCCAGCUGACUUGUUAGAUCUGAAAGAGAAAUCCACAUUAUGAUACAAAAAUUUGGACCCUAACAUGAAGAUCUGAUGAUACACUACACAAUACAGAAAGGAAUCUGUCUUUACAGAGCUACACUCUGAGGAAGGAGACAUGAAAUUCCAUGAACUGCUAGCUCUUCAUUCAAGCCUGGAAUGCCAUUGUCCAUUACCUGAAAACUUGUCUCAAGAGACUUAACAAGAGAGCGAAGCUCUAAAAAUCCGUCUGCACAAAGCACCAGGCAGUGUGCAGCAGGAGACAACUCUGCUGCGCUUGGACUUGACACGCAACCUUUUCCCUCUUUGACUUCUGUUAUUUUAGGACAGUAAUCUGCUACACUCAGACCGCUGUCCUUGGCAGAGACUGAAGCACAGCUAACACAGUGAUGUCCUUGCUUAUAACUUGUAACACAGGGUAGGAAUGACAACUCAGAGCCUAGAUUAUGUGGAGCUCACUGCAAAAAAUAAUAUCCUUUUCUCUCAUUUUCUCCUCUCUGCCUCAAAGCAUUUGGCAUCAGCCUCAGCUUUUCUUGAUUGUGAGUACUGAAUGUGUCAGAGGUAAGAGAAAGCUCAGCCUGAUAGUGAUAUCUGAAAUGUUUUUCCUUUCCUCUGGAAAAAGGUUAAACUUUGGCAUAGAAACAGCACUGUGGAGCCCUUGCUUCAGUAAGAGCUUCUGUAAGUUUCUACAAGUAGCUGUUCUUUAGCAUGGCUGAUACCAGUCAGAAUGUAGUAUGAUUAGGAAAGUCAUGGGUUGCAUUGUGUGUGAAUAAAAUACAAGUGUACUUGCAAUGUGCUCACUUACAUACCACAACUUGUAAUGAAAACUGACAUUAAAAAAUAAAAAUUAAAAAUAACAGUCUAAAGGGCAAUGCAGUUCGUACGUAUGGAUAGGAUGCUUUCUAAUGAAGUAGGUAGUUCACACCUUCUCCAGGAAAACAUUGACCUCAUUUGUGUAAUAUCUAUUACAUGUUGCUUCAAGAGAGGGCAUGACAAAAAAAUUGCUAGCUGUCUUGACAGAAAUGGGCUUGAGGCAAGGCAUUCCCUAGAAAAAACCUCAAGAAAUCUGAGUUUCAAAGAAUACGUUAGCAUGGGCUUCGUUAGGCUCUGCCUGGCCUCGUUGUUUGUGUGUACUGCAGGGGCAUCCCCUAUCCAAGCCUAUGCAGACAAUAUUGUCCAAGUUUGCAACAAUUCCUGAUAGUAGAUCAGAAGAGCUCUGUAUACUGUGGAUCUGGAAGAAAUAGGGAUGUUUGGGGCUAGUCUCAGGAAGACACAUGCCAGCACAGCAACCCCAAGUCUGCAGCUGUAUCUAGAGAAGGACAUGGCAAAACUCAGGGCUUAGACCCUGUCCAACAAACUCCACAAAAAGGAUGCAUUUCUAAGUUGAUUCAACCUUAUUGUCUCCAAGGUUGUUCGAUAAAACCUGUGUAGGGAAGGAUUCUGUAUCAGGGAAUCGGCUGCUUUUUUGUAUAGCCAAACUUCAAAAAGUUAAAUAAGCACCACUAUCAUAAAGCAUAAAAUAAACUAUUCUCCUCAAACAGUAUCUCAUAGAAAAUCAGCACAACAGAGCCCAGAAACACAAAAUGAGUGUUGUUUCAGUAGAGCGAAGUGACAGGGCCAACAGCAGAUGCAUUUCUUGGCACUGAGUGCUGCAAAUUUUGUAAACAGCAGAGACAAACCUGUUUCACCAAAGAUUAAGUCUACACAAAUGCAUCUCAUUCAGCACUGGUAAAGAGGCUCAUCUAUUGUCCUGGCAAGCAGCACCAAAGAUACAGUUCUCUGGAGACAAAAUGUAAGGCUAGCUGGAAACACACUAGCCGUCCUGAAAAGAAAGAGAGGCAGUGCAAUGGUAACUAGUGAAGAAACAGCUGGGCAUGGUGGCACCAGGCUGCGUCUUUCAAACCAUGUUAUCAACACUUGUUCAUACAGCCAGUGUGCUGUAAAGAAGCGCUUGUCGCUUUCCAUUAGGUCACAGAGAGAUGAAUGGAGCCCAGUGUCAAAAAAGUCAGGUUAGGGGCUUUGAUUUGUUUUCUUUUAAUACUUGACAAUAUUGGAAAGCGUAUAGUUAAGCGGUAAGGCUAGCCAUGUGAAAAUUUUUAUCACAGCAGUGACUUAUUGCUGACAUUUGAGAAAUGCCAAGAAGAUUCAAGGAGAUUUUGGAAAAAUACAGGCCUUCAUCAACACAACUUCCAAGACAUAUACUCCUAACACAUUUCACAUUCACAUCAAAUUCAAGGGCAACAAAAGUGUGGCUAUCGGCCAAUUCCAAUGUACAGCAUCCAUAAUACGGGUACUAGCUGACCCUCUCCAGUUCAAAAUUUAAUCCUAUCAAAAAGUGAGCAUCUAACGUCCAUUCCUUCAUCCAUUUUAAUCCCUCUUUCAGUACUCAUGGUAGAAGAUCACUUCUGCAGCUGUACUGAGAAAAACAAGUCAGCUAUAAAGUGCUUCAUUGUAUGAGUUACGUGCAAGCUUCAAGCUAAUGGAAAAAUCUGAAUACUUUUGUGAAAAAAUGUUAUGCCUCUGCUCCAAGUUAUCUGACACAAAAAUGAUCAUAAUCUUUCUUUUCCCUGUUUGGAUUCAUCUCAAAAAGAAUCUAAGAAAAUAUUCUUAAUGGCAGCAGAUGAAACACCAUUAUAGGGGCCAACUACUUUAUAAAAGAGGGGUUUUUUUAUUAUUUUUAUUUUAAAAAAUGCUCCUAAGGCACAUACUAUUUUAAUGAUCACAGCAAAUCAUGAGCUUUUAAAUACACUUCCUCAGACUUUUUCCUAGGAGGAAACCAGGAGCUGUAAAUGAUCCAAGGAUAAUAACUCAUUACAGCAGAGGCUGGCUGCUGGGGAAGUGAGUAGCUGGACUGUCAAGAGUAUGCUUGUUUUCCACAGAGCUUGUGCUGAAACGAAGCUAUGUCCGUGGAUCGAGGGAUCAAUAUUCUCAAAUAGCAAACACGUGAGAUGGAAUUUCUGACCUGUUCUGAUUUCGACUCAUCAUUUCAGAUGUGGUGUACUUAAGAGCCACCAAGCUUUCAUCCCUUUCUACAUCCUACAUCCUUGGGAAGCCGUUUCACCAUGCUGUUGCCCCCUUAUUGAG